rnacentral:piRNA from 1 species
UGUAAGUGUGAAGAUUUGUGAAGAU